rnacentral:rRNA from 1 species
UACGUAGGCAGCAAGCGUUGUUCGGAGUUACUGGGCGUAAAGGGUGUGUAGGCGGUUGGAUAAGUGUGGUGUGAAAAUCUCCCGGCUCAACUGGGAGGGUGCGCUACAAACUGUCUGACUAGAGUGUGGGAUGGGAAAGUGGAAUUCCUGGUGUAGCGGUGAAAUGCGUAGAUAUCAGGAGGAACACCGAUGGCGAAGGCAGCUCGCUGGGACGGUACUGACGCUGAGGCGCGAAAGCGUGGGGAGCGAACAGG